CUCUAGGACUGAUGAGUCCCAAAUAGGACGUAACGCACGUCCUGGAU
rfam:Schistosoma mansoni strain Puerto Rico chromosome W, complete genome